rnacentral:rRNA from 1 species
UACGUAGGGGGCUAGCGUUGUCCGGAAUCAUUGGGCGUAAAGGGUGCGUAGGCGGGUCUUUAAGUCAGGGGUGAAAUCCUGGAGCUCAACUCCAGAACUGCCUUUGAUACUGAGGAUCUCGAGUCCGGAAGAGGUGAGUGGAACUCCGAGUGUAGAGGUGAAAUUCGUAGAUAUUCGGAAGAACACCAGUGGCGAAGGCGGCUCACUGGUCCGGUACUGACGCUGAGGUGCGAAAGCGUGGGGAGCAAACAGG